ACCACAAAAUAUUUUUAUUGUAAAUCAAAUAAGAAAAAAUGAAAACAAAUUUUGAGUACUGAACAAGAUGGACACCUAAGUGAUCGUCCUGUUGCUGGAAAGAUAGAGGAAACAAAGGCAGCAUUUUAAAUGCAUUCAUCUAAAAAUUUAAUGCAGAUCAGCCACCAUGAUUUAUGCCUGUAAUCCCAGCACUUUGGGGGGCCAAAGAGGGAGGAUCACUUGAGAUCCAGGAGUUUGAGACCAGCCUGGACAACACAGUGAGACUCCAUGUCUACAAAAACUUAAAAAAUUAGCCAGGCAUGGUGGUGCAUGCUUGUAGUCCCAGAGACAGGAGGCUGAGUUGGGAGGAUCACUUGAGCCUGGGAGGUUGAGGCUGCAGUGAGCUGUGAUCAUGCUAUUGCACUGUAGGCUGGGUGACAGAGUGAAAUCCUGCAGGAGAAUUGCUUGAACUCGGGAGGUGGAGGUUGCCGUAAGCCGAGAUCAUGCCACUACACUUCAGCCUGGUGACUCCAUCUCAAAAUAAAUAAUAAAUAAAUAAAUAAAGGAUAUAAGUCUCAUGAUAUAUUGAACAUCUGUUGUCAAAGUCAAAUAAAUUGAAGUUAAAUAUUUUGCCAUGCUGUGGUUCUGACGAUGAAAGCUAUAAAUAAUUUGUAAUCUAGGAGGAAGUAGGCCAGAGAUCACAUCAAAUGUUCUAUGAGGUGGUUAGGUUUGAGCUAGACAUUGAAGAAGGGGUUUUAUUGAAUAAUCAUUGAUGAAGUCACCAAGCCAAGGGCAUUUGCCUUAGCGGAUUCAUGGGAAUAUAAAUAUUCCUGUCAGGUUCAAUUACUUUUUAGCAGAAGCUUUAUGAGUCUAUCUAUCUAUCUA
rnacentral:lncRNA from 1 species